rnacentral:pre_miRNA from 1 species
AAUGGGAGAAUGAUAAAUCAAAAUUUUCUUUCUGAUUUUCAGUUUUUUCCUCUUGAAAAAGUUCAAAUAAUCCAACUAAAAACACUAAAAAUCAGGAGAAAAAAAUCUGAUUUGUCAUUCUCUCAUU